GCAGAGGUACCCAAGAGGCUGAAGGGACACGCUUGGAAAGCGUGCAGACGGGAGACCGUGCAGGGGUUCAAAUCCCCUCCUCUGCGCCA
rnacentral:tRNA from 1 species